UGCCGGCAUAGAUCGGAUGUGGGGGUUACAGCGAGACCUGACCGUGUGGCGACAUGCACUUCCCGCGUGGCAAUGUAAUCAAUAGCUGGAGUCCCAAUGAAAAUAAGAGGGGAGUAUUAUCGGAUUGUGUGUACCCGAGGCUCCUGUCUCGAUGCUGGCUGGCCGGCCCUGGCAGAGAGAAUAAAAAACGGAACGCUAAAACAAGGUCAGAAGUUAGUAUAGCCAGGUAGCUACAGUAGCUAGCACCUGCAACUGAUCAGCGGUAGUUAUGGUAGCACCGAUGAGGCCAAUCAUUUUUACAUUGUGCUGGGCUCUAAGUUACAUCAGAACAAAAGCUGAUGACCGAGUUCAGCGUUCAACACCAUAGUGCCCACAAAGCUCUUCACUGAGCUAAGGACCCUGGGACUAAACACCUCCCUCUGCUACUGGAUCCUGGAAUUUCUGACGGUCUGCCCCCAGGUGGUACAGCUGCACCAUCGAGAGCAUCCUGACUGUUUGCAUCAACACCUGGUAUGGCAACUGCUCGGCAUCCGACCGUAAGGUGCUACAGAGAGUGAUUCUAAGGUGGUGCCCCAGACAGAUCUGGUACCUACCCUUGCCUUGCUCCUGGGCAUCCCCAUCCCCUACAGCAGUGUGGGCAGGUCCUGCUGCCUCGGUUCCCUGCAGACAGCCAGAUAGGGGGUGCACCAGCAGGUCUCAGCCAGGCGGAGGCCAAACAGGUUGAUGUUCGAGGCCUAAGGGUUCCCGGAGCAGUGUCUUUGUUCUGGUGGAGGUGACCCUCGUGAUGAGAGUCGACAUGGCAGUGGGCCGUUGGUUUAAGAGACUCUUCCUUGACACGUCUAGGUAGCGCUGCUCAUGCUCCUGCUCUGUUGCAACUGACCAGGGCUCACUCUAAGGUUCUCUACUCUGUACAUCCCUAUCUGGUUCUAGGGGCGAGGCAAGGGGAGACACGAGGAUGGACAUAAGUGAUCUGGGGAAGUCUCCAUAAGGACAGCCAUAAAGAUCUGGAGAACGCGAGAUGUUAUGUUUGGGUGACUCCAUCCUCAAAAUGAUGAACUCUAAAACUAUUGAACUACAUCUGUAAAAUUGGGAAAGGUCCAAACUUUACUUGCCAAUGUAUUGCAUAUCGGGAGAACCGAUAUCGAGGAUGUUUGCAGAGUGGAUGGGAAAGGGACCUAUGAGACCCACACUCUUGCACAUACUCAGUUAGGUGAGAUGUGUCAAAAGGAAAUGAGUGGAUAAUGUGCAAAAGCAAUGAUUGAAUCCAUCCGUGCAACGUGCAUUAUGUCUGUCAUCUCAAUUGUCUGCUGAAGGAAAUGAUCUAUUCUUAUCUUGUGUUUCUAUAAUUGUCUAGUUUUUUUAAACAAUCGAUGUGCAGCACCAAAGAUAAUAGGACAAUGUUUUAAUGCAACAGCAAUAACUUUCUUAAUUCAUCUCUAAUAAACAGUUUAAUUCAUAACAAUGUUUUCUAAUCACAAAUAUACAGUAGUCUUACAUGGGCCAGUAAUACACCUUUCCCUGGGACAGGUGUCCAGCUUUGAUGAAUGCCUUGUGUGAGGUGUUGGAUGAAAACAUUUAAAUAAUAAUGAUCCAGGA